GGUCCCCUCUUACACCAGUACCUCCUGACACUGGAAAGUUCUGGUUUUCCAAGGGGAUAAAAUAAAUUGCUUCUUUCCCUCCCUGCUGGACAUUGUUCCGUUCAGGGCCUACAGACGAGCAGACAUU
rnacentral:snoRNA from 1 species